rnacentral:rRNA from 1 species
GGGGAAUUUUGGGACAAUGGGCGAAAGCCUGAUCCAGCAAUGCCGCGUGUGUGAAGAAGGCCUUCGGGUUGUAAAGCACUUUUGUCCGGAAAGAAAUCCUUGGCUCUAAUACAGUCGGGGGAUGACGGUACCGGAAGAAUAAGCACCGGCUAACUACGUGCCAGCAGCCGCGGUAAUACGUAGGGUGCAAGCGUUAAUCGGAAUUACUGGGCGUAAAGCGUGCGCAGGCGGUUUGCUAAGACCGAUGUGAAAUCCCCGGGCUCAACCUGGGAACUGCAUUGGUGACUGGCAGGCUAGAGUAUGGCAGAGGGGGGUAGAAUUCCACGUNUAGCAGUGAAAUGCGUAGAGAUGUGGAGGAAUACCGAUGGCGAAGGCAGCCCCCUGGGCCAAUACUGACGCUCAUGCACGAAAGCGUGGGGAGCAAACAGGAUUAGAUACCCUGGUAGUCCAGCGCCCUAAACGAUGUCAACUAGUUGUUGGGGAUUCAUUUCCUUAGUAACGUAGCUAACGCGUGGAAGUUGACCGCCUGGGGAGUACGGUCGCAA